rnacentral:rRNA from 1 species
UACGUAGGGGGCUAGCGUUGUCCGGAAUCAUUGGGCGUAAAGCGCGUGUAGGCGGUCCGGUAAGUCCGCUGUGAAAGUCGGGGGCUCAACCCUCGAAUGCCGGUGGAUACUGUCGGGCUAGAGUGCGGAAGAGGCGAGUGGAAUUCCUGGUGUAGCGGUGAAAUGCGCAGAUAUCAGGAGGAACACCAAUUGCGAAGGCAGCUCGCUGGGACGUUACUGACGCUGAGACGCGAAAGCGUGGGGAGCAAACGGG